GGGCGGACCCACGAGAAGAGGGAGGGAUGAAGUAGUGGUGAUUUUUGUCUCCGAAAAUUGUAAGAUAAUGAAGCACACACAAUGAUGGAUUUUCUGGCUGAGAAUAAUGUCUGUGGGCAGACCCUGCUCCGGCUUGUGGCAAGGGCAAAUUCCAUUAUUGCAGAGUUGAUGCGUUUAUCUGACUAUGUUCCUCAAGUAUUCAGAUUAGAGACUAAAGUUGAACAACAGAAGUAUGGAGACGUUGUUUUGGAUUUUACUUAUUUCAAAGCCCCUGAAGGUUUUAAUAAGAAGAUUGAAGAUACAGCUGU